rnacentral:misc_RNA from 1 species
GAAGUGCGAUAAGUGUCAUGACUUGCAGAUUCUCGAGAGUUGACAAAUUUCUGAAUGCAAAUGGCGGCCAACUUGGUUGGUCAUGUAUUGCAGAGUGUAGUUGUUCAUACUCAUCAUCCUCCUUGAUAUUAUAUGUUUGGGAGGGAUCUGCGCUUGUUGGAUUACUCCACGCGAGCGUGAAAAUUCAGAGUGGAUGCCCUCUCAUUCAAUUGAGAAGGCGUCCAACUUCGGAGUUUCUUAGAAGUUCACUGUACUCUGUCUUCUUUAAAUAUUCACCUCUGCAAUGCAGGAAAACCCGCUGAACUUAA